rnacentral:tRNA from 1 species
GGGGGAGUGGCUCAGCAGUUGAGAGCACUGACUCCUCUUUCAGAGGUCCUGAGUUCAAUUCCCAGCAACCACA